ACUGCGCGCAAUGUGGUCAGUAGAAUCAGUGUUUGUUGCGCAAUAUUUUAAUAUUUUUCUGAGCAAAAUGGCUCUCAUUAAAUUAAAUAAUCAAUUCAUUUAAAUUAUAAUUCGCGAAGUUAGAAUCAGUGAGUCCGUCGAUAGUUUAUUUUUCUUUUUUUGUAUUUUUUUUGUUCAAUACUCGUUUUCGGUGUUAGAGUCAGUGCUCAAGAGGAUAAAGCCUCUCCUGGAGAUCAAGAUCACGCUUGACAGCAUUAACUUCUGCAUUUUUGGGGGAAAACCCAACAGUGGCUCUAAAAUCAAGAAUAUCUUCUAGAGUCUCCACUUCCCCUGAUCCUGCAAGAAUCUUACGAUGCUUCGAAAGCUAAAAAUAAAUUUUUCACGGCUUUUACUUACACCAUGGGAUUCUCAAUGGUAUCUAUUCGAUGAGAGUCUUCAUGAUAACUUUUCCUGCUCCAGUACAGCAUCGGUGAUAACGUUCUUCACAUCUAUUCCGUGAGUCGCAUGCAUUUAUGUUCCUCCGGUCACUCAACCAUGUCGUAGGACGAAAGGUUCGAAUCGGCACGAGUGACUGGUUGUAUACGUAGAAUUUUUAAUGAGCAUAGUGACCGCGGGUAUUUUUUGUACCCGUGAGUAGUAACAUUUUUUUCCAGAUUUUUUAUGUAUUAGAUCAGGAUAGGGCUUCUUGCACAUCGCGAUUUUAACAAUCAGGAUAUACGUACACAUUUAUGAUAAAAUUAAAGUACCUUCAAUAUAAAUGGUUGCAAAAGUCUAUUUGAAUAUUCAUAUGAAUAGAUGAAUUAUAAAUAUUUAUAGAUAAUUAUUAUUAAAA